ensembl:piRNA 21ur-189 ncRNA
UCAAUAUUUGCAUAGGGUAUC